GCUUUCUUAGCUCAGUUGGCUAGAGCGCCAGUCUCAUACUUUACGUAUGACUUCCGAAAUUGGAAGAGAGAUCUGGAAGUCGCAGGUUCGAGCCCUGCAGAGAGCA
rfam:Fomitiporia mediterranea MF3/22 unplaced genomic scaffold FOMMEscaffold_8, whole genome shotgun sequence.